GCUGGCGGCAGGCUUAACACAUGCAAGUCGAGCGGUAGCAGAUCUAGCUUGCUAGAUGCUGACGAGCGGCGGACGGGUGAGUAACGCGUAGGAACCUGCCCAGUAGUGGGGGAUAGCCCGGGGAAACUCGGAUUAAUACCGCAUACGCUCUACGGAGGAAAGAGGGGCUUCGGCUCUCGCUAUUGGAUGGGCCUGCGUGAGAUUAGCUAGUUGGUGAGGUAAUGGCUCACCAAGGCGACGAUCCCUAGCUGGUCUGAGAGGAUGAUCAGCCACACUGGGACUGAGACACGGCCCAGACUCCUACGGGAGGCAGCAGUGGGGAAUAUUGCACAAUGGGCGCAAGCCUGAUGCAGCCAUGCCGCGUGUGUGAAGAAGGCUUUCGGGUUGUAAAGCACUUUCAGUGGGGAGGAAGGCCUCGUAGUUAAUAGCUGCGAGGAUUGACGUUACCCACAGAAGAAGCACCGGCUAACUCCGUG
rnacentral:rRNA from 1 species